rnacentral:misc_RNA from 1 species
UGAAGAAAUGAAAAGUGAACAAGCUGCGUGUUAUGAUAAGUGAUUCAUGGGAUGUGAUUGUGAUAUGAUGUAGAGAAGUAUUGGGUUGGGUUACGAUCGGUCCAAGUUGAUAUGGAUUACUCAAGUAUCUGCCGGUUUGUGUAAACUUCUAAACCUUGGAUAUGUGACUAAGUUAAAAAUAAAGUUUAUUAAUUUAGUUUGGGAUAAUUAAAUAUAUGGUUUUGUUUAAAUUGUGACGCGUUUCCUUACGUGGAACGAGGAUAACAGACAUCAUGGCGCUUACCCAGCCAAGUGUCAACUGUAGUUUGUACGACAUCGAUUUGAAUAGUUUAAAGGACCCUGCUGGAAUAUUUGAGCUUAUCGAAGUCGUAGGAAAUGGGACUUACGGUCAAGUAUAUAAGGGUCGUCAUACGAAAACUGGUCAGCUUGCAGCAAUCAAAAUUAUGGAUGUGACAGAGGAUGAGGAGGACGAAAUAAAGCUUGAAAUAAAUGUUCUGAAAAAGUAUUCCCAUCAUCGAAAUAUAGCUACUUACUAUGGUGCAUUUAUCCAGAAAAGUCCUCCCGGAAAAGAUGACAAGCUAUGGCUUGUCAUGGAAUAUUGUGGAGCUGGCUCUGUCACUGAUCUAGUAAAAUCUACCAAAGGACAUUCUCUGAAAGAAGAAUGGAUAGCUUACAUUUGUCGAGAAAUCUUGAGGGGUCUUAGUCAUCUACAUGCCAAUAAAAUAAUCCACAGAGACAUUAAAGGCCAAAAUGUUCUUCUAACUGAUAAUGCAGAAGUUAAGCUAGUUGACUUUGGUGUUAGUGCACAGCUAGAUAGGACGAUAGGACGGAGAAAUACGUUUAUUGGCACUCCAUAUUGGAUGGCGCCAGAAGUCAUAGCCUGUGAUGAGAACCCUGAAGCUACCUAUGACAAUAGGAGUGACUUAUGGUCAUUAGGAAUUACUGCUUUAGAAAUGUGUGAAUCUCAACCACCUUUAUGUGAUAUGCAUCCCAUGCGGGCAUUGUUCCUCAUUCCAAGAAAUCCUCCACCCAGAUUAAAAUCUAAAAAAUGGAAUAAAAAAUUUCAUAGUUUUAUAGAAACUGUAUUAGUUAAAGAUUAUCAACAAAGGCCAUACACCGAUCAACUGCUGAAGCAUCCUUUCAUUCGUGACCAGCCCACAGAAAGGCAAGUCCGUAUACAACUUAAAGAUCACAUUGAUCGAUGUCGAAAGCACAAGAGGGGAGGUAAAGGAGAUAUUCAGGAAGAAUAUAGAUACAGUGGCAGUGAAGGUGAGGAAGAAGAAGUAGGCUUAGCUGGAGAGCCAAGUUCAAUUGAGCCAGUGCAGCAAGAUUCCACAUUGAGGAGGAACUUUCAACAGCUUCAGGAGGGUCGAACUUUGACUACCAAUGAGUCUAGGACUCCAGGAAGCAGUUUUCAACCUCCUUCUGCACCACCUCUUCAAAUUGAAAUGCCUGCCCCUCCUCCUAGGCAUUCUGUACCACCACAAAGGCUUAUUGUUGUUCCUGAUCCUCCACCUCCUAGUAAACCUUUGCCACCUAUUCCUGUUGAUCAAAAUAGAAAAGCCAAAGCAGCCACUCCUCCUAGGAACAAUCAAAAUCAAGGAACUCCUUUUCAAUCAUCUCAGCAAAGUAGAAGUUCUGGUGUUUUUAAACCUCCUGCAAGAAGACCAGAAGAAUUGGAAAUUUUAGCUGCCCAGUUAAAUGAACUUGCAAUAGGUGGUGCCGGUAGUGUAUCAAAUCAAAAUAAUAACAAUAGUAGACUUUCUUCAAAUUCAGUAGAAACACCCCCUGGAAUUAAUGGAAUACUUUCUGAUAAAUCUGGGGGUGUAAGAAAUGGAUCCGAUUCAGAAGAAGAGGAGGAGGAGGAAGAUGAAGGUCAAAUUCAAAAUGAUGGCACUCUGCUGGCAUCUGAUCCACCCAGACCUCUGGCCUCUGACAACCUCAUUGAGAAUAGAAUAGCAAGGCCUCCUGAAGUCUACAAUGAUGCCUUAAGAAAUUUAGUUGAUCAUGACAAAAUAAAUGAUGGUUCGACACCUGUAAAUCAUGCACCACACAGACCUUUACCUCCUACUCCAGAUGAAGAAGAAAACAAUGACAGAACUUUAGUGUUGAGAAGGAAUCAUUCAAAUCGGCAAGAAAAUAACAGACGAACGAAGAAUGAGAAUGAAAGUAAGGGGCAGGAUAGGGCAAAAGAUAGAUCAAGUAUUAACCUGGAAAAAAAUCAAAGGAGGCGUGAUUCUGGUCCUGUUGAGCGCUCAGAUAUUAAUAAAUCUAAAAGUAGUGAUAAACAUCGCUCUUCAUCCUCACCUUUACAUAAAGCUACAUCAUCACCUUUUCCUUUAGCUACCUCAACUCCUAAUCAAAAUGGAGAAUCAAAUCAUAAAAAAGAACGAAUUAGUAAUUCCAGGCAUGAAUCGAAGAGUGAUAGGGAGCGAACGGAUCGGAGUUCAUCAAGCGGUGGCUGUGAUCGUGGUCCUGGACAGCGCAUGGAAUCUUCUCAAAGCUCUCCUGGUAAUAUAGGGAUGGCCGCUACACGUUCCAUGGGUGUUCUACCUGACCUCUUGCAGCAGCAUGCUUCGAACACAUCUGGUCAUCAGUCUUCACCACAGCAUAGGCUUCAAGACUCAACGAUAUCAGAUGAGAUAUAUCAGGAAUAUAGGCAAGCUGUUGGAAAGGCCCCUCCUCAACUACAACACAAACAGCGCUCUUUUCUUACAUUUGGGUUUGGUGCUGGUGGUGGUACUGGUCCCUCUCCAUCUCCAAGGAGAGAGAGCCAUGUUAAUGUCAAUGUUACGCCAACAUCGCAUGAGUCGUCUGCUGACACUCCAGAAAUAAGAAAGUACAAAAAACGAUUCAACUCAGAAAUCCUAUGUGCUGCCUUAUGGGGAGUAAAUCUACUGAUUGGUACAGAGAAUGGACUCAUGCUUCUUGACCGUAGUGGUCAAGGUAAGGUGUAUCAAUUAAUAUCUAGGAGAAAAUUUCAGCAAAUGGAAGUCCUAGAAGGCCAAAAUAUUCUUGUCACAGUGUCUGGCAAAAAAUGUAGAGUACGCGUAUAUUACCUCUCAUGGCUGAAGAGCAAAAUAUUAAGAACUGAUGGAAUUGAAAAAAGAAGUGGUUGGAUAAAUGUAGGAGAUCUUCAAGGUGCUGUCCAUUUUAAAAUAGUCUCAGGGCCCCAUUACACCUCACACUAUAGUCACUCUUCCCAAUUCCAAAGGCUUGCAACUCCUUCUUUGUUAUGAUAAUGAAGGAGUUUAUGUAAAUACUUAUGGGAAAGUUAGUAAAAAUAUUGUUCUUCAGUGGGGAGAGAUGCCAACAUCUGUAGCGUAUAUUGGGACAGGCCAAAUCAUGGGAUGGGGCAAUAAAGCGAUAGAAAUACGUAAUGUGGAAACUGGUCAUUUAGAUGGUGUGUUUAUGCAUAAGAAAGCUCAAAAGCUGAAAUUUUUGUGUGAAAGAAAUGAUAAAGUAUUCUUUUCCUCAGCCAAGGGAGGUUCUUCGUGCCAGAUCUACUUUAUGACUCUUAAUAAACCUGGAAUGGCCAAUUGGUAGCCAGUGGACUAAUAAUUGAAAGUGCUCCUGCCAUUCACAGAAAGGGUGCUCUUAUACAUUAUGGGGAAAAUGAUU